GCGGGCGUAGCUCAGUGGUAGAGCAUCAGCCUUCCAAGCUGAGGGUCGCCGGUUCGAAUCCGGUCGCCCGCU
rnacentral:tRNA from 1 species